rnacentral:misc_RNA from 1 species
AAGGAAAUAGAUUUAUACAAGACCGCCUUGUCAAAAAGCCGUGUGCCCCAUGGUCCAGUUAAUUCAGGCCUGACAACUUGUUUUAGAUCAUCUGCCAAAUCAUAUACUUUUGGUUUGUCAUAAGAUACAACACGAAAAGCUUCAAAGUACAGUGCGUGGUCUGUGAGAAUUAGCCGACCUGGCCAGGUGGAUAUUCCAACAUGUUCAAGAACUGGUUGUGUGGUGACUGUUCCAUCCACUUCCAGAAUCUUUUCUCUUCUUGAUAAUCGAACAGAAGAAAGAAGUGAAGACUCUGACUGGCUCUUCAUCUUUUUUAUUGCCCUGUACAGAAGAUUGCAAAAUGUAAAAAUUGGCUAAUAUGCGCCUAGCUGCCCAUAUACCACAACAUUAAAAAAAUAAAGAUGAAAAAGAAAUGUGGUCAUACUAAAUAAAAAUAGCAUCAUAAAUCACACGGAUCAUAUCAGCCAAUAUGCAUUAAUCAAACAUAUUACCUUAUUUUUAAAACCCUGACAGGAUGAUCAAAGUACAAAAAAAAUAAUGCCAAAAUACUUUUCUUGACUCCAGUCCAGUUUCACUAAAAGCACAUAGGGCUAAAAGGACAGUUUCAAAGUUUCAAAGGACAAGCCUUCUUUUGUUUUAGUUCUCUUUAAAAUGACAGGCAGUUAAGGUGACAAACGAAAAUAGUUUUUCCAUUACAUGUUAACUCCCUUUGACCAUAUAGCACUUCAGGUCACUAAUGAAUUGCAAAUCAACAUUAAACAUAAUAGCCAAACAAGUGUUAAAGUUUUAGCAGAUCCAAAAUAUGAAACAAUACAUUUGUCCUCUUAUUUUCAUAGCCAGAAAAUCACAUAAACGAGUGACCACAAGCACAAAGAAAGGACAAACGUUAUAUAUAAGUAUCAAAAGGAAACUAGCACAUAUAAGAAACAAACUACUGCAAUAUUCACAAGUUUGGCUGCUCAGUCUAAAAGAAGCCCAUAAUCCUAAAAAGAAGACCAUGAGGGAAGACCAUGUGGAUAUUUAUACAACUAUCUCAAAACAAAUACACAAUGUAAAAUUUGUGAUACCUGAGAAGUCUGAACUUUAUAGCUGUAGCCUGUAGUACAAUUGGAGUUUUCUUGUGAUUAAAGCAAGCCAGUAACAUGGCACUUUAGUCUUUUUCCAAGUCUUUUUGAACAGCUUGGGUGGUGUAAGGAAAGUUGACUAACCAACCAGCCAACUAAUGCUUUUAUAAUCGCAAA